rnacentral:rRNA from 1 species
ACUCCUACGGGAGGCAGCAGUGGGGAAUAUUGCACAAUGGGCGCAAGCCUGAUGCAGCCAUGCCGCGUGUAUGAAGAAGGCCUCGGUUGUAAAGUACUUCUAGCAGUGAGGAAGGCGGAGUCGUUAAUAGCGGCCUCGUUUGUACGUUAGCUGCAGAAGAAGCACCGGCUAACUCCGUGCCAGCAGCCGCGGUAAUACGGAGGGUGCGAGCGUUAAUCGGAAUUACUGGGCGUAAAGCGCAUGCAGGUGGUUUGUUAAGUCAGAUGUGAAAGCCCGGGGGCUCAACCUCGGAAUUGCAUUUGAAACUGGCAGACUAGAGUACUGUAGAGGGGGUAGAAUUUCAGGUGUAGCGGUGAAAUGCGUAGAGAUCUGAAGGAAUACCGGUGGCGAAGGCGGCCCCCUGGACAGAUACUGACACUCAGAUGCGAAAGCGUGGGGAGCAAACAGGAUUAGAUACCCUGGU